GACGAACGCUGGCGGCGUGCUUAACACAUGCAAGUCGAACGCUGAAGCUCAGCUUUUGUUGGGUGGAUGAGUGGCGAACGGGUGAGUAACACGUGAGUAACCUGCCCCCUUCUUUGGGAUAACGCCCGGAAACGGGUGCUAAUACUGGAUAUUCACUGGUCUUCGCAUGGGGGUUGGUGGAAAGGGUUUUUCUGGUGGGGGAUGGGCUCGCGGCCUAUCAGCUUGUUGGUGGGGUGAUGGCCUACCAAGGCUUUGACGGGUAGCCGGCCUGAGAGGGGGACCGGUCACAUUGGGACUGAGAUACGGCCCAGACUCCUACGGGAGGCAGCAGUGGGGAAUAUUGCACAAUGGGCGCAAGCCUGAUGCAGCGACGCCGCGUGAGGGAUGGAGGCCUUCGGGUUGUGAACCUCUUUCGCUCAUGGUCAAGCCGCAACAAUGGUUGUGGUGAGGGUAGUGGGUAAAGAAGCGCCGGCUAACUACGUG
rnacentral:rRNA from 1 species